UAAAAUGUUCAUGAAAACGUUUGAUUUUACAUCUUCAGGAACGUUUCAUUGUUGUGAAAUGUUUUGUUGUGAAAUGUUUUGAAAGCGAGUAAACAACUGAAGUCUGACAGAAAGCGCGCGUAUUUUUUCUUAGUUCCAGAAAAGAUUUCGCGGGCAGCCUAGGUGGUAACCAUAGCAACAGCAGAUCAACCGUUGAGCGCCUGCCGUUGGGAUCAGUAUCUGCACACUACACCACAAAACAGUUUAGGGAGAUUUUCUGCUAGUGGUUUCCCCUCAUAUCCAUCCACAGAGGAACUUUGGAGGAGUCUCCCUUUUUGAAACAGCUUUCGGAUGCUCUUCUGUGGACACGGCAUCAGACGGGACGCACGCUGACCACACCUGAAACACAAGCCCUUUCUCAAUCUAGUGAGCUCUAGAGUGAUUCACCGACUUUACACAGCCUCCAGGAAAGCUCCCCGGGUUUUUCUCCGGUCUGUUUGGAAAUAGAUGUGUUUACGAAGGAUGAAAUAUUUCAGGAAUGAAAUCAUCGCUGGAUUUACCAAAGUUUGCACGGGUUUUAGUUAACUCCAAACCUGGUCAGAUCUGAAGUUUGCAGUGGAUUGUGGGGGAACACCAUGAGGAGGGUUUUUGACCUGGAUAUGAAGCUGAAGAUCUAGUUCAACCUCCACGUAUCCCAAUGAUCCUGGAGACUGAACACCUGCUUCCCUCUGUUCUUCCUGUCAUCCAACACCUCGGCGUUACACCUGAAAUUAGAGCACACACACACACACACACACACGCGCUGGUGUCCUCCUCCAUGCAUCUGCUCCGUUCAGCCGUGUAGAGGUGAUUUUUCAUUUUGACAGAUCAUCAGCUUUUCGUUCAUGAGAGAUGUGGAGAUACUGGUUUGCCGAGCGCGACCGUUCACUUUUGACCUCUUUAACCAGAGAGAAGCAGGCCUCUGCUUUAGAUCAGCUCAUGGAUCAUGAACACUUCGCUUAUUCCAAAAGCAUCCUGAACAUUUCUGCUGUGUGGCUGAAGGAGCGGCACGGUUUCUGUCCCAUCAUGCAUCUGUAAGCAUCUGUGUCCAUCCACCUGGGUUCAAAUAGACCUGCUUCUGACCUUGUAACUGACAGACAUCGAGUGAUAAGUUCAUUACAGGAUGCUGGAAAACACUUGAUGUGUCUCGUAUGGAAUGAAGGAUUACCAACAGCAGUCUGAAGAGACAAACAGCCUGACCAAUGCUUUAACACAGCGUCCCGUCUCAAAGACCAAACCAGUUCUACUGAUUCAACCUCCAACUGUGAUACUGAUUUCACACAGAUUCAUUUAUUCAGACAUGUGGGUCAUCGGUCCCUUUCAGUGUGCAGCAGGACUGGCGUUUUGGUGCAAAGUUCAUGUUUAUUCAUGUAUAAAAUAAAUCCAUUGAUCAUUUAGAUUUGACCAGAUUUUUAUUC